CCCAGACUCCUACGGGAGGCAGCAGUGGGGGAUAUUGCACAAUGGGGGGAACCCUGAUGCAGCGACGCCGCGUGGGUGAAGGAGCGUUUCGGCGCGUAAAGCCCUAUCGGCAGGGAAGAAGGAGGACGGUACCUGACUAAGAAGCCCCGGCUAACUACGUGCCAGCAGCCGCGGUAAUACGUAGGGGGCAAGCGUUAUCCGGAUUUACUGGGUGUAAAGGGGGCGCAGACGGCAGCGCAAGCCAGGAGUGAAAGCCCGGGGCCCAACCCCGGGACUGCUCUUGGAACUGCGCGGCUGGAGUGCAGGAGGGGCAGGCGGAAUUCCUGGUGUAGCGGUGAAAUGCGUAGAUAUUAGGAGGAACACCGGUGGCGAAGGCGGCCUGCUGGACUGUGACUGACGUUGAGGCCCGAAGGCGUGGGGAGCAAACAGGAUUAGAUACCCCAGUAAG
rnacentral:rRNA from 1 species